UCUGGAUAAACUUGCAUCCAUCCAAGGGAAUGGAGCAAGUCACUGUACGGAGCAUUUCCGUAAGGUAUGAGCGUAGCGAUUACUUUACAGAAUUAAUUAAGUAACACAUUUUGGGAUUGCCAAAGGCUUACAUAUAAGUGUAAACGACCCAAGUUUGCACUUGGAGUGAAAUUCUGAAGUGCUAGGAUAACCGUACAUCCUUUAACAUAUUUUAUGUUAUAAAAGUAAUCUUGAAUAGCUUUAACUAGCUUUUCGAGUUACGGAAGG
rnacentral:ncRNA from 12 species